rnacentral:rRNA from 1 species
UGAGGAAUAUUGCACAAUGGGGGGAACCCUGAUGCAGCAACGCCGCGUGAGCGAUGAAGGCCUUCGGGUCGUAAAGCUCUUUUCUGUGGGAUGAGAGAAGGACAGUACCACAGGAAUAAGUCUCGGCUAACUACGUGCCAGCAGCCGCGGUAAAACGUAGGAGGCGAGCGUUAUCCGGAUUCACUGGGCGUAAAGGGCAAGUAGGCGGUAGGCAAAGUUGGGCGUGACAGCUCUCGGCUUAACUGAGAGGGGUCGUUCAAAACUAGUCUACUGGAGGGCAGGAGAGGAAGGCGGAAUUCCGAGUGUAGCGGUGGAAUGCUCAGAUAUUCGGAAGAACACCAGUGGCGAAGGCGGCCUUCUGGCCUGCACCUGACGCUGAGAGGCGAAAGCUAGGGGAGCGAACG